UCGUGUUUUAAUGGUAUUGAUAACUCAGUCCGAUUGAAAGGUUAACAUCUUAUUCUUCACGACACCCAUCGUCUUCUUCUAGGAUUCAUCGUGAGACAUCCAUCCUAUUAAGAAUUAUCGCCAUUAGUGGAGUUUCUGGAGGUUGUGUGAGAAGAAUCUUCCUGAUGAAUCUUUGGGUCGAUCUUCGUUCGCGUCUGUUCAUCUUAGAUUCUUCUCCUCCAAAACGUUACGGAUUCACCCAUUCUUCGCCAUUAAGAACCAUCUUUACUCCUUUGACCCACAACAAUCACUACAGAUCAUUCAAUGCUUUUUAUUUUUCUUCAAGGCGAUGUUUUAUUCACCUAUAAGAAGUGUUUGGAAACAUAGAACGCCAGGAAGAAUUUCUUUAGUCACAAAAACAAAAGAUUUGAUGAAGAACUUUGGCUAAUCUUCAAUUCUUCAAUUGAUUAUGCCACUGUCAUACGUCCACAAUCUCUUCGUCUGGUACCAGCAAAAUUUAGGUUUAACAAAUUUUCCUCCAAAUUCAAAUUUCUCAUGAUAAAAUCAUCGUUAUAGAUGCAAAUAUUGUAAUUUUUGAUAACCAUAAUUUAUUUCGACAUGCUAUUUGGAAAUGAUAAAAAUGGUGUCCACAUAUUAUAUGUUCUAAUUUUGUAAAUACCAGAAACUGAUGGAGGUUUUACAUGACAUCUGCCAACGAUGUCUCUCAUUGCUUUAGAAUUUAGCUACUUGCACGAUGUGAAAGUUCCCGGUAAAAGAUCCCCAUUGUUCUCAAUAAAGGAGGAGAUGACAAGCUAGAUGGAAAUGCUGCUUUGAACAAGUUUUCCAGCCAUAUGUACUAGAGUAUGGAUGAGGAGAUGAGACAAGCCAAAUGCAUAUCAAUUUCUCUUUUGGUCUUCUAUUUUAACAACUUUUUUUUUUUUUUUGAAGCACUUCUAUUUUAACAACUUAUCUUUCACCUUUUCACUCACAAUAUACCUUCUCAGGUGGUUUUAGAUGUGACAAAAAAAAACCUUUUGAAAAAAACCAUGAAGUUGCAUUGGAGGAUGAAAUCACAGACUAAGAGCAGAAAAAGGAUACUCCACGAGCGGCCAUCACUUUGAAUCUUAUUCUAAAUUGUAAAAGAAUCAAUGAAAGAGUUUGUACCUACAGUUGAAACCAGACCUUGAUCUGCUUAGGCUCGAUAUUUAGACAAAAUAGAACAUUUGAGAUCAAUUAAUUAUUGUGUCUGGAGCGCCUCUGAUUGCUCUGUCAUGUACUUAACGUACUUUUCCAAUAUUUUCAUGCUUCA